rnacentral:rRNA from 1 species
ACCUACGGGAGGCAGCAGUGGGGAAUAUUGGACAAUGGGGGGAAACCCUGAUGCAGCGACGCCGCGUGAGUGAAGAAGUAUUUCGGUAUGUAAAGCUCUGUCAGCAGGGAAGAAAAUGACGGUACCUGACCAAGAAGCCCCGGCUAACUACGUGCCAGCAGCCGCGGUAAUACGUAGGGGGCAAGCGUUAUCCGGAUUUACUGGGUGUAAAGGGAGCGUAGACGGCAGGGCAAGUCUGGAGUGAAAGGCGGGGGCUCAACCCCCGGGCUGCUCUGGAAACUGCCCGGCUGGAGUGCAGGAGAGGG